GGUUGUCGAGCUUCCUUUCCCGCACGGCUGGCGAGGGAGGAGGAAGUGCAAAGAGCCGUUGAUCAUGCUGAUGUGGCGGCGGCGGAGCCUGAGGGCCAGUCGCUGGGCUCUGCGAGGUGCAAGAAAGCCUUUGAGUUGAAGAGGUAUGAAGGUCAUCAUGACAGAUGUUAUCCAAAAACUUGUCUGUGAAAUAACUAAAAGGAUCACACAGCAUGUAUUGAGCAUGUAGGUUGCUGUAGAUGAAUGUACUUCGCUAUCAGUGUUUAAAAAGUUUAAAAAUACUUCUGCUUCACUGCCUCAAGUGUGGCAUGCAACAUUUUGGAAAGAAAAUU